rnacentral:rRNA from 1 species
AACAGGAUUAGAUACCCUGGUAGUCCACGCCGUAAACGAUGUCGACUUGGAGGUUGUGCCCUUGAGGCGUGGCUUCCGGAGCUAACGCGUUAAGUCGACCGCCUGGGGAGUACGGCCGCAAGGUUAAAACUCAAAUGAAUUGACGGGGGCCCGCACAAGCGGUGGAGCAUGUGGUUUAAUUCGAUGCAACGCGAAGAACCUUACCUGGUCUUGACAUCCACAGAACUUGGCAGAGAUGCCUUGGUGCCUUCGGGAACUGUGAGACAGGUGCUGCAUGGCUGUCGUCAGCUCGUGUUGUGAAAUGUUGGGUUAAGUCCCGCAACGAGCGCAACCCUUAUCCUUUGUUGCCAGCGGUCCGGCCGGGAACUCAAAGGAGACUGCCAGUGAUAAACUGGAGGAAGGUGGGGAUGACGUCAAGUCAUCAUGGCCCUUACGACCAGGGCUACACACGUGCUACAAUGGCGCAUACAAAGAGAAGCAAUCUCGCGAGAGCUAGCGGACCUCAUAAAGUGCGUCGUAGUCCGGAUUGGAGUCUGCAACUCGACUCCAUGAAGUCGGAAUCGCUAGUAAUCGUGAAUCAGAAUGUCACGGUGAAUACGUUCCCGGGCCUUGUACACACCGCCCGUCACACCAUGGGAGUGGGUUGCAAAAGAAGUAGGUAGCUUAACCUUCGGGAGGGCGCUUACCACUUUGUGAUUCAUGACUGGGGUGAAGUCGUAACAAGGUAACC